GUUCUUGCUUUGGCAGAACAUAUACAAAAAUUGGAACGAUACAUAGAUGAUUAGCAUGGCCCUUGCGCAAGGAUGACACGCACAACCGUGAAGCGUUCCACAUUUUU
rnacentral:snRNA from 1 species